GCUCAGCACCCAGAUUUCACUAAAACGGCAGCUUUUGUGACUAAAAACGGCAGUAGAAACGGAAGACGUUAUCAAAUCCCAAUGAUACCCUCACGACCAUAAAAUCAUUUCAUCUCCAUCUUCUCUGCGUCUCUUUGUUUUUCUGUAGCCCGCGAAAUAUCGAAACCAUCGAAACUCGAGAAUGGUGUCGGACUCAGACCUUGUGAACCGGCUACGAGAAAUACUUGGGAGCUCCGACCUGGAUACGGCCACCGCUGCCAGCGUACGGAGGCAGCUAGAGGAAGAGUUUAAAGUGGACUUGUCCGACCGAAAGAAUUUUAUUAGGGACCAAAUUGAUAGUUAUCUCCAAACUUUAGAGGAAGAUGAUAAAGAGGACAAUGUGGAAAAUGAAAACGACGCUGUUGAAGACGAAGAAAGGUCAAACAAUGUGGAUAAAGAAGUGAAGAAACAAGGAGGUGGCUUUAACAAAUUAUGUAGCCUUUCUCCCCAACUUCAGAAGCUUCUUGGAGUUUCUGAAUUGGCUAGAACACAGGUUGUGAAAAAAAUUUGGGAAUAUAUCAAGGAAAAUAAUUUGCAGGAUCCAAAGAAUAAGAAAAAAAUACUAUGUGACAAGUCAUUGCAAGAAAUAUUUCGUGUAAACUCUAUUGAUAUGUUUCAAAUGAACAAAGCCCUGUCAAAGCAUAUUUGGCCAUUGACUGCAGAAAAUGAUAUUGUAGAGCAGAAGAUAGAAGAUGAAGAUAAUCAUGAUUCUUUGUCAGAAGAUAACAAGCCAGAGGAAGAAGAAAAAGAAGUAGAAGAAGAUAAAGAUGAUGAAAACCACAAUGAUGACAAAGAAGAAGAAAAGAAAGAGGAAAAGAGUAAUAAGAAAGGAAGCAAGAAAAAGGGAUCAACUAAGGUGGAUAAAGAUAUCAAGAAAAGAGGAGGUUUUACCAAGUUGUGUAGUCUUUCUCCAGAGCUUCAAACAUUGGUUGGAGUAUCUGAAUUGGCCAGGACAGAAGUUGUUAAGAAACUCUGGGUUUAUAUUAAGGACAAUCAAUUGCAGGAUCCGAAGAAUAAGCAAAAUAUAUUGUGCGAUGAAUCUUUACAUGCUCUUUUUCGUGUUAGUUCUAUCAACAUGUUUCAAAUGAAUAAAGCUCUCUCCAAACACAUAUGGCCGUUGGACAAGGAAGAUGGUAUUUUAUUUUUUUUAAUCUCCUGCUGACUCUAGUCAGAAGGAAAAGCGGUGCAAGCAGGAGGUAGAAGGUGCAGGUGAGCUACAUCAGAAAGAAAAACGACAGAAAAAAGGAGGACCAAAAUGAUAGUAGGAGACAGUUGGGGUCAUUAUAAGCUAAAAGAACUUUGUGAGGGUUACUCUUUCUAGUGCUUCUCAAGCUUAAGGCUUCUGACUAAAAUCUUUCAGGACGAGAGAGUGAGUUGCUUGUUUGUAUAUAAUAUGAGCCCGGUAGAAGUGGGCAAUUUUUGCUCAAAGAGUUCUAAUUCUCCUUUUAGGCUGGUCAGCUGUAUGCAUUCUAUACGUUUCAAACAAAUGGAACCAAAUAUCUUUAAUUAAGUUAUUUCACCAUUCCCCAUA